CGGAACCAGGCGCCCGCCGGAGGGACCAACCAAACUCUUUUCUGUAGUCCCCUCGCGGACGUUAUUUCUUACAGCUCUGAGCAAAAAUUCAAAAUGAAUCAAAACUUUCAACAACGGAUCUCAUUGGUUCUGGCAUCGAUGAAGAACGCAGCGAAAUGCGAUAAGUAAUGUGAAUUGCAGAAUUCAGUGAAUCAUCGAAUCUUUGAACGCACAUUGCGCCCGCCAGUAUUCUGGCGGGCAUGCCUGUCCGAGCGUCAUUUCAACCCUCGAACCCCUCCGGGGGGUCGGCGUUGGGGACCUCGGGAGCCCCUAAGACGGGAUCCCGGCCCCGAAAUACAGUGGCGGUCUCGCCGCAGCCUCUCCUGCGCAGUAGUUUGCACAACUCGCACCGGGAGCGCGGCGCGUCCACGUCCGUAAAACACCCAACUUCUGAAAUGUGACCUCGGAGUCAGUAGAUACCCCGACUAA
rnacentral:rRNA from 1 species